rnacentral:lncRNA from 1 species
AUCUUGCCCCCACUGGUGCUCCGGUCUCGAAUUUUGGCGAAGUGCUUCUGCAGGCACCUGCGGUCAUGGGCGCUACAGGGGCUGAAGCUGUUGUUGGGGUGGUCACCCUCGUCCUUGCCAGGGGUACCUUACCAGAGGGCUGCAGGCUUUCCUGGAUGGCCUCGAUCUCCGCCAGCUCCAUGCACACGCCUUGCCCGUGCAUCAGUGUGUGCAGGGGCUUCUCCACCCCUCGGGGCGGGUAGCAGCGCAGGCCCGAGCCGCAACGGGGGGUGUACACCCCGCAGGGCAUCCCCAAGCCCAGGGCGCAAGUGGCGCAACAGCCGCAGCCCGGCUCUCGCACCAGCUCCUCGCAGCCCACGGGGGGGCGGCAGCGCGCCAGCUUCUCCUCGGAGCAGGGCGGGCAGUGGAUGGCUUCGUCGCCCAGGCUCGGCCCGGGCCCGGCGGCCAGCAGCAGGGCGGCCACGAGGCAGAGGGGCAGCAUGACCGCCCGAGGACUGGGCGCGGGCGCGGGGCGCUGGGCGCAGGCGGGGAGCGCGGGCGCGCGGGCGAGCGGCGGAGGGCACACGGCGGCAGCGCCUGGCGCUCCUGGAGGACCCGACCCGGAGGGCGCGGGGAGACGGGGCGGCCCGGCGGGCGAACGGGGACGUAGCGGGGGAAGUUAGCAGGCGUGCCGGAGGGGAGCAAGCCUGGCCGCCGAGGCGCUGCGCCGCAUCCUCGGCCCGGCCCAGGCAGGCGGCGGGCGGCGAGGGGCAGGGGGCUGAGCGGCUGCCCGGGACCGGCUCCCCCGGACUUUAUACCGGUCCCUGGCCACACCCCCAGCGCCUUCCCAGAGGUGGGGGAGCCGGGGCGGGCGAGGGGGAGAGGGAGAGGCGGCCGUUAGGGGGAGGGGGCGCUGUCCUGAGUCGCCGCCGCCGCCGCCGCCGCAUCUGAAAGUCCUUUUCUGCCGAAGAAGGAAGCGGCGCAGUUUGGAAGCUGUAGCAGGCGCCCAGAGUGCCUCUGAACCGGAGCCCCGGAGGGGAGGCAAGGGAGAAGGGAAGCCAAGGGGCUGCUGCGGGGCCCCCUUUCCCGACCUCGGAGGAGUCUCGUCCCGCCCCGCCAAGGCGGCCUCAGUCUCCCACCGAGAAAGGGACUUCCUAGCCCGGACUCCCGGCUCUGCGGAUCCGGUCUUCCUGGACAGAGCCCUUUCCACCGCACCCCGGUGCUUCCAGCCUCAACCGCUGGAGACCAAGCCUCCUGAGGUGGGGUAAAGCGUACAGGCACAGCUAGGGGCACAGAAAGGCCUGGAGGCCCUAAGACGUUAACAGGCUCUUGCCACUUGCCCCUUGCAACCUCUCCCGCCCCCGCAAUCUCCCCAGGGCGCAUUUGGGCCCUGGUCCACCCUGCUUCCCCAAGAUGGAAUCAGCAGAACUCCCGGGGAGGGAGGUGCCGCCGAGCCUCUUCCUCCUUCUUGGAUGUUUGCCUCUCAGGCCCAUUCAGACCCACUCGUGGAGGGAGGCAGGCCUGGGAGAUUGCCACUUGCAAUGUGCAAGUUUUGCGUUGAACAACUCCAGUGGGGCACCAUUCCUUGUAAUCAUUGUGUAUUUGUAGAGCUGUUGUGAUCAUUUCCCAGAUGGCAGUGAAGGAUUUGAG